GCGUGCCUAACACAUGCAAGUCAAAGUGUGAGUAGCUUCGGCUACAAGUACUUGGCGCAAGGGUGAGUAAGGCAUAGGUAAUCUGCCCUUUGGUCUGGGAUAACCUCGAGAAAUCGAGGACAAUACCAGAUGAUGCAGCGGAACCGCAUGGUUAUGUUGUUAAAGAUUUAUCGCCAAGGGAUGAGCCUAUGUUCCAUCAGGUAGUUGGUAGGGUAACGGCCUACCAAGCCUACGACGGAUAGCUGGUCUGAGAGGAUGAUCAGCCACAUUGGAACUGAGACACGGUCCAGACUCCUACGGGAGGCAGCAGUGAGGAAUAUUGCGCAAUGGGCGAAAGCCUGACGCAGCAACGCCGCGUGGAUGAUGAAGUUCUUCGGAAUGUAAAAUCCUUUUGCAGGGGACGAAUAGGUCGGCUUGCCGGCUGUGACGGUACCCUGCGAAUAAGCCACGGCUAACUCUGUGCCAGCAGCCGCGGUGAUACAGGGGUGGCAAGCGUUGUCCGGA
rnacentral:rRNA from 1 species